rnacentral:rRNA from 1 species
ACGAAGUCGGACCUGCCCAGUGAGUUUUAAACGGCCGCGGUACUCUGACCGUGCAAAGGUAGCAUAAUCAUUUGCCUUAUAAUUGAAGGCUGGAAUGAAUGGUUUGACAAGAAUACAACUGUCUCUAUAGAUUUCCUAGAAUUUUAUUUUUGGAUGAAAAAGUCCAGAUAUUAUUAAAAGACAAGAAGACCCUAUCGAGCUUUAGAGAAGUUAGUAGAUUUAAUAAUAAAUCAAUAGGAAUAAAAGAAAAACUACUAAAUACACUUUGGUUGGGGCAACCGAGGAGCAAGUAAAGCCUCCUUUAAGUUUUAAAUCCUGCAUGCGUUGAUCCAAAUAUUUUGAUCAAAGGAAUUAGUUACCGUAGGGAUAACAGCAUUAUCUUUUUCAAGAGCCCAUAUCGAAAAAAAGGUUUGUGACCUCGAUGUUGGACCAGGAUAUCCUAA